AUGAACGCUGGCGGCGUGCCUAAUACAUGCAAGUCGAGCGAACAGACGAGGAGCUUGCUCCUCUGACGUUAGCGGCGGACGGGUGAGUAACACGUGGAUAACCUACCUAUAAGACUGGGAUAACUUCGGGAAACCGGAGCUAAUACCGGAUAAUAUAUUGAACCGCAUGGUUCAAUAGUGAAAGACGGUUUUGCUGUCACUUAUAGAUGGAUCCGCGCCGCAUUAGCUAGUUGGUAAGGUAACGGCUUACCAAGGCAACGAUGCGUAGCCGACCUGAGAGGGUGAUCGGCCACACUGGAACUGAGACACGGUCCAGACUCCUACGGGAGGCAGCAGUAGGGAAUCUUCCGCAAUGGGCGAAAGCUUGACGGAGCAACGCCGCGUGAGUGAUGAAGGUCUUCGGAUCGUAAACUCUGUUAUUAGGGAAGAACAAAUGUGUAAGUAACUAUGCACGUCUUGACGGUACCUAAUCAGAAAGCCACGGCUAACUACGUG
rnacentral:rRNA from 1 species